rnacentral:rRNA from 1 species
GGCGGACGGGUGAGUAAUGCAUAGGAAUCUGCCCGAUAGUGGGGGAUAACCUGGGGAAACCCAGGCUAAUACCGCAUACGUCCUACGGGAGAAAGGGGGCUCCGGCUCCCGCUAUCGGAUGAGCCUAUGUCGGAUUAGCUGGUUGGUGAGGUAAUGGCUCACCAAGGCGACGAUCCGUAGCUGGUCUGAGAGGAUGAUCAGCCACAUCGGGACUGAGACACGGCCCGAACUCCUACGGGAGGCAGCAGUGGGGAAUAUUGGACAAUGGGGGGAACCCUGAUCCAGCCAUGCCGCGUGUGUGAAGAAGGCCCUCGGGUUGUAAAGCACUUUCAGUGAGGAAGAACGCCUGGUGGUUAAUACCCAUCAGGAAAGACAUCACUCACAGAAGAAGUACCGGCUAACUCCGUGCCAGCAGCCGCGGUAAUACGGAGGGUGCGAGCGUUAAUCGGAAUUACUGGGCGUAAAGCGCGCGUAGGUGGCUUGAUAAGCCGGUUGUGAAAGCCCCGGGCUCAACCUGGGAACGGCAUCCGGAACUGUCAAGCUAGAGUGCAGGAGAGGAAGGUAGAAUUCCCGGUGUAGCGGUGAAAUGCGUAGAGAUCGGGAGGAAUACCAGUGGCGAAGGCGGCCUUCUGGACUGACACUGACACUGAGGUGCGAAAGCGUGGGUAGCAAACAGGAUUAGAUACCCUGGUAGUCCACGCCGUAAACGAUGUCGACCAGCCGUUGGGUGCCUAGCGCACUUUGUGGCGAAGUUAACGCGAUAAGUCGACC